rnacentral:lncRNA from 1 species
UCAUCUGCUCACAUCCAAGGAUUUGGAUGAUUAUCGCAAGGGGAAAGUCACACACAUACAAAACACACAAUUGCAAGGGUAAGCUAGGUAUAAAAAGCAUGUUAUCAAUCAAGUAUUUCAAGCAUGUAAGGACCAUAACACCAUACAGACUAUGACCAAAUGCAUUUUGUUAAUACCAAUGACCGACCAUGUGAUUUGACCAUCCGGAUUAGUAUGAAAUGUCAAGUUCCAGGGGUUUGUGCACUUGUGGUGGCCUCUACUGUUUUGCAAAGCCAUUGCCAACGGGUUUCACCCUUACCACACACAAGUGUAAGUCCAUCCAAAUUCAUCUUGGCCCAUAAAUGGAGAUACCCAAGACUAGGA